UUUCCGUAGGCGAACCUGCGGAGGGAUCAUUAUUGUAUAACCGAGGUGCGAGGGCUGUCGCUGACCCGAAAGGUCGUGCACGCCCGUGUGCCCUCACACACAUCCAUCUCACCCCUAUGUGCACCACCGCGUGGGUCCCCCUUUGGCUUGUUCGGAGGGGGGCUUACGUUUUCACACAAACUUUGUAUGCAGUGUAGAAUGUAUUUUUUGUUUUUGCGAUCACGCAAUCAAUACAACUUUCAACAACGGAUCUCUUGGCUCUC
rnacentral:misc_RNA from 1 species